AUGACUCUCGGCAACGGAUAUCUCGGCUCUCGCAUGAAUGAAGAACGUAGAGAAAUGCGAUACCUAGUGUGAAUUGUUGAAUCUCGCGAACCAUCAAGUCUUUGAACGCAAGUUGCGUCCGAGGCUACUCGGUCGAGGGCAUGCCUACCUGGGCGUCAUGC
rnacentral:rRNA from 1 species